rnacentral:rRNA from 1 species
UACGUAGGGGGCAAGCGUUGUCCGGAUUUAUUGGGCGUAAAGAGCGUGUAGGCGGCCAGGUAGGUCUGCUGUGAAAACUCGAGGCUCAACCUCGAGACGUCGGCGGAAACCAUCUGGCUAGAGUCCGGAAGAGGAGAGUGGAAUUCCUGGUGUAGCGGUGAAAUGCGCAGAUAUCGGGAAGAACACCCGUGGCGAAGGCGGCUCUCUGGGACGGUACUGACGCUGAGACGCGAAAGCGUGGGGAGCGAACAGG